AACGAACGCUGGCGGCGUGCCUAACACAUGCAAGUCGAACGUGAUUAGAGAGCUUGCUCUCUAUGAAAGUGGCGCACGGGUGAGUAACGCGUAGAUAAUCUGCCUGGUGAUUUGGGAUAACACUUCGAAAGGGGUGCUAAUACCGAAUAAGCCCACGGAGUCCUUGGAUUCGGCGGGAAAAGGAGGGGACCUUCGGGCCUUCCGUCAUCAGAUGAGUCUGCGUACCAUUAGCUAGUUGGUAGGGUAAAGGCCUACCAAGGCGACGAUGGUUAGCUGGUCUGAGAGGAUGAUCAGCCACACUGGAACUGAGACACGGUCCAGACUCCUACGGGAGGCAGCAGUGGGGAAUUUUGCGCAAUGGGGGAAACCCUGACGCAGCAACGCCGCGUGAGUGAUGAAGGCCCUUGGGUCGUAAAGCUCUGACAGAGGGAAAGAAAUGUGGGUGGCUAAUAUCCAUUCCACUUGACGGUACCCUCAAAGGAAGCACCGGCUAACUCCGUGCCAGCAGCCGCCGUAA
rnacentral:rRNA from 1 species